CAUCGUUCGCGACGUACUUACCUCGCCAUGUAUCACGAGCGCCGGAGUGGAUAUCGCUAAGAUCACCGCCCAGGUGACGCAGAUCGCAAGGAUGGCAUGGUUCUCCGUUCUCCAAGACAUCGAGGCGAUCGGGUGGACCACCGCUAGGUACCUGGAUCACAAAUACCGCCAGAUUUAAUGGAUUGCAUUUCUGCAACCGGAGAUUGAAUAAUCAAAAUUGGACCAGCUAAUUCAAUCAAGCUCGUAUAACGUACGAUGGAAGACAUAUUGCUGUUAGGUAUUGGAGUUAGGCGAUGGCCACCUACAAUGGCCUAUGUCGUCGAGAUAGAUACGUUUGAAUUGGCUGAAACGAAUAUUUCAAACGAAUAUAUGCUCUGUAUGCUCUGCAAACUACCUCAUGUUCCAUAAUUCAACCGAAAAUCUACGAAUCGAAUGUCGAAUCGCUUUGUGAGGAUACAAGGACAGUACAGUUAAUUCGGAUUAGAUGGUUGCGAAUAUCCAGGUAUGGAAGACAAUUUAUACAAGUAAUUGUAUAUGACGCUCGAUAUAAUUCUUCUCUAACAAUCGUCACGAUUGGAUAAUAUAUAUCUCAUUAACUCCUAAUUUAAUUUCGUGGAGAAUUAUGCCUCGCGCGUAUCCGUUGAACUACGAGGCUUUUAACCAAUUAUACGAGGAUAUAAUUUCAAUUUCAACGAAAUUCUAAUGCGAAAGUACACACAUUUGCUGUUAAAUAUGAUAAAGUUAUAAACAGGAUAUCUAAUCGAAUUAAUUUGAUAAUUUCAAAUAUAUAGUUAAGAGAAAAUCUCAUUGACACGAGUAUAUCUCGAUAUAAACUUUUAAAUUCAUUACUAUAUAUGCAUGCUAUUAUCCGAUCUAAUUUCGUCAAGAACACACUUGCGCCAUAUUCUGGGAGCAAAGAGUUUGAAAAAGAGCGUUGUGCAAAAGACUCGAUUGUUUCAUUGCAUUAAAACUUGAAGGAUUGAGCCAUGUGUAGUAAGAUCAAUCUCAAAUUAAAUUAAGAUCAACUUUCGUGAUAUUGCUUUUUGUAUGAUAUAUGCUCGCUCUAUUUGGAUUUCACUUACAAGUGUACCGUGUUAGCGAUUAACACUUAACUAGCGAGUGUGAUGUUAUCUUCGAGUAUGCGCUCCUUGGCUACGCGGCUAAUGGUGUAAGGUUGUUUACUGUACUUUCUAUACCUUCUAUACUUCUUUCUCUCUCCAGCAAAUUACAAAUAUAUUUAUUUACUUCAUUUCAAGUACAAAAAUGUGUAACAUAAUGUAUCAGCAAAGAAAUAAAUUAUAAAUUUAAAGUA